UAGAUAUAUGGUCUAAAAUCUAAAUCAUCACUUAUGUUUACAGUUAGGGAGUGUGUGGGUAUCUGUGGGGCUUUCGUGCUGCCUUUUUAAGAGGCUAUUUAAAAGAAAAUGUUGCCGGAGUCUAAAUUCCAAAUCGAUGUCUCGAGCCUACAUGAAUGUCCAAGAUGGAACGUGUGUAAUACCGGUAUAUAAGAGUAGAACUAAUCAGUUAAUGUUUUUAGUAAUUCCCGUGUUGUUAUCACCAAUGAAUAUAGGCCUAGUUGUGCAAAGUUUAACUUGAUCCGAAAACGGAAAGUGGGAGAAAUAACGUGUGCAAGAUUCCAGACAGACAGACAAACAGACAGACUUCCAUGUUAUGGCUGACUUUUGGUAAACGUGUAUUGUCUUGUCUAAAGAUAUGCCCUACGAAUCUUAUAAUAUGUGACGUUCUGUCGCCACUUCACAUAGAAGACGAGUUCCUGUGCGGGAAAUUAUUUCACUAGUGGCAUGCUAUUCUUAUGAUUAUUUUCAG